GGCCAUUGCUAUCGGAGUCCGAUUUAGCCAUGCUAGUCGAGCGAGGUUAGCCCUCGCGGCGAACAGCUCAGUAACACGUGGCCAAGCUACCCUGCAGAGGGGGACAGCGUCGGGAAACUGACGGGAAUCCCCCAUACCGGUCUCACGCUGGAAUGCCGAGACCGACAAACGCUCCGGCGCUGCAGGAUGCGGCUGCGGCCGAUUAGGUAGUCGGUGGGGUAACGGCCCACCGAGCCGAUAAUUGGUACGGGGUGUGAGAGCACGAGCCCGGAGACGGAAUUUGAGACAAGAUUCCGGGCCCUACGGGGCGCAGCAGGCGCGAAACCUUUACACUGCACGAAGGUGCGAUAAGGGGACUCCGAGUGCGAGGGCAUACAGUCCUCGCUAUUGUGUACCGUAGGGUGGUACACGACCAAGAGCUGGGCAAGACCGGUGCCAGCCGCCGCGGUAAUACCGGCAGCUCGAGUGAUGGCCGAUUUUAUUGGGCCUAAAGCGUCCGUAGCUGGCCCUGCAAGUCCGUCGGGAAAUCCACUCGCCUAACGAGUGGGCGUCCGGCGGAAACUACAGGGCUUGGGACCGGAAGACUUGAGGGGUACGUCUGGGGUAGGAGUGAAAUCCUGUAAUCCUGGACGGACCGCCGAUGGCGAAAGCACCUCAAGACGACGGAUCCGACAGUGAGGGACGAAAGCUAGGGUCUCGAACCGGAUUAGAUACCCGGGUAGUCCUAGCCGUAAACGAUGUUCGCUAGAUGUGGCACAGGCUACGUGCCUGUGCUGUGUCGUAGGGAAGCCGAGAAGCGAACCGCCUGGGAAGUACGUCCGCAAGGAUGAAACUUAAAGGAAUUGGCGGGGGAGCACUACAACCGGAGGAGCCUGCGGUUU
rnacentral:rRNA from 1 species